GAGUAAAGAAGAGGGUAGACGGGGACGAGACAGAGCACGGGAUGGACCUUUCAACACCCAUAGAUGGUCUUGUUGUCCUUGCCAUGCACUGCCUCUUCCCUGGCUUUCCUCUCUCUCUCUCUCU
rnacentral:pre_miRNA from 1 species